rnacentral:rRNA from 1 species
UACGGGGGGGGCAAGCGUUGUCCGGAUUUACUGGGCGUAAAGCGCGCGCAGGCGGACUGAUCAGUCUGGGGUGAAAUCUCCCGGCUCAACUGGGAGCGGUCCCUGGAUACUGUCAGUCUUGAGAGACCUAGAGGAGAGCGGAAUUCCCGGUGUAGUGGUGAAAUGCGCAGAUAUCGGGAGGAACACCGGUGGCGAAGGCGGUUCUCUGGGCCUUACCUGACGCUGAGGAGCGAAAGCGUGGGGAGCGAACAGG